UAGGGAAUCUUCCACAAUGGGCGAAAGCCUGAUGGAGCAACGCCGCGUGUGUGAUGAAGGCUUUAGGGUCGUAAAGCACUGUUGUAUGGGAAGAAAUGCUAGAAUAGGGAAUGAUUCUAGUUCGACGGUACCAUACCAGAAAGGGACGGCUAAAUACGUGCCAGCAGCCGCGGUAAUACGUAUGUCCCGAGCGUUAUCCGGAUUUAUUGGGCGUAAAGCGAGCGCAGACGGUUGAUUAAGUCUGAUGUGAAAGCCCGGAGCUCAACUCCGGAAUGGCAUUGGAAACUGGUUAACUUGAGUGUUGUAGAGGUAAGUGGAACUCCAUGUGUAGCGGUGGAAUGCGUAGAUAUAUGGAAGAACACCAGUGGCGAAGGCGGCUUACUGGACAACAACUGACGUUGAGGCUCGAAAGUGUGGGUAGCAAACAGGAUUAGAUACCCUGGUAGUCCACACCGUAAACGAUGAAUACUAGGUGUUAGGAGGUUUCCGCCUCUUAGUGCCGAAGCUAACGCAUUAAGUAUUCCGCCUGGGGAGUACGACCGCAGGGUUG
rnacentral:rRNA from 1 species